CACAAAUAUUUGAUUAAGUACGGGUUUUCUUAAUACACAAAUAUAACUCCAAACUUUUGAGAUAGUUUAGGAGAUCAGGGUGUCAUAUUCGAACACCACUAUGUCACGAUGUAUUCUCCCUCACCUGAGUGUGUCGGGUCGCUAGGUUCUAUGUUUGCAGGUGAGCUUACUUGAUCCGAUCUCCUCUCGAGCUCUUCAUUACGCCAAAAUAACAUUAAUUAGCUAACUGACGAUAAUAAUUAUACUUACGAAAUAAUUUUUUACACGAAGAUAAAAAUUACGAUUUAAAAUGAAUUUAAUUCCUUUCGUCCAUCCGAUUCAAGGUUGAAUAUCCUUGAAUCAUCAUUUGUCAUUGAAAGUCUUACAAUCAAAUAACACUUUUAAAAGUAAGAUUUUCAAUAAAACUUAUACUGGAAUUAUGUCAUAAUUCGUGGAUAUACAUCAGGCUAGUUCCCAGGAAAGAGAGGUGGGUCGUAAAGACACCCUUAAAUACCAAGUCUUUCCUUAGAUAGAACCUUUCUAUACAUGUAUUCCCACUUCAUUACAUUUUUCCGGUAGUUCAUAAAUCUUAUUUUUUGUAAGUAAAACAUUUUUACUAAAACUAACCUUUUAAAAUAAGAUCAUUAAGCUAGACUUAUCAUUCUUAAAGUAAGUCAAUUUAAACAAAAUCAAUACUUUUAAAUCAAUAUUUUUUAAGUAAAUCUUACCAUUUUAAAGUAAGUUCACUUAACUAAGAUUCAACAUUUUUAAAUCGUUUUACCAUCUAAGACUUCAUAACACUUUAAGUUUAUAAAGUCAAGAUUUUUAGGUAAAUCUCAUUAUUUCGAGUAUACUACUAAAACAAAUUAAUAAUUAAUAAAACAUACACAGAAAAUUCACGGUGUUACAAUCCUCCCCCCCUUAUAAGAUUUUUGUCCUCGAAAAUUAAACGUACCUCUUAAGAAAACAGAUAUGGG
rnacentral:lncRNA from 1 species